GCGGAAUUCGUGGUGUAGCGGUGAAAUGCUUAGAUAUCACGAAGAACUCCGAUUGCGAAGGCAGCCUGCUAAGCUGCAACUGACAUUGAGGCUCGAAAGUGUGGGUAUCAAACAGGAUUAGAUACCCUGGUAGUCCACACGGUAAACGAUGAAUACUCGCUGUUUGCGAUAUACUGCAAGCGGCCAAGCGAAAGCGUUAAGUAUUCCACCUGGGGAGUACGCCGGCAACGGUGAAACUCAAAGGAAUUGACGGGGGCCCGCACAAGCGGAGGAACAUGUGGUUUAAUUCGAUGAUACGCGAGGAACCUUACCCGGGCUUGAAUUGCAGAGGAAGGAUUUGGAGACAAUGACGCCCUUCGGGGCCUCUGUGAAGGUGCUGCAUGGUUGUCGUCAGCUCGUGCCGUGAGGUGUCGGCUUAAGUGCCAUAACGAGCGCAACCCCUCUCCUUAGUUGCCAUCAGGUUAAGCUGGGCACUCUGGGGACACUGCCACCGUAAGGUGUGAGGAAGGUGGGGAUGACGUCAAAUCAGCACGGCCCUUACGUCCGGGGCUACACACGUGUUACAAUGGCAGGUACAGAGAGACGGUCCCUUGCAAAAUGGAUCAAAUCCUUAAAGCCUGUCUCAGUUCGGACUGGGGUCUGCAACCCGACCCCACGAAGCUGGAUUCGCUAGUAAUCGCGCAUCAGCCAUGGCGCGGUGAAUACGUUCCCGGGCCUUGUACACACCGCCCGUCAAGCCAUGAAAGCCGGGGGCGCCUAAAGUCCGUGACCGUAAGGAGCGGCCUAGGGCGAAACUGGUAAUUGGGGCUAAGUCGUAACAAGGUAGCCGUACCGGAAGGUGCGGCUG
rnacentral:rRNA from 1 species